UACGGAGGGUGCAAGCGUUAUCCGGAUUCACUGGGUUUAAAGGGUGCGUAGGUGGGUUGGUAAGUCAGUGGUGAAAUCUCCGAGCUUAACUUGGAAACUGCCGUUGAUACUAUCAAUCUUGAAUCUCGCGUAGGUAAGCGGAAUAUGUCAUGUAGCGGUGAAAUGCUUAGAUAUGACAUAGAACACCAAUUGCGAAGGCAGCUCACUAAGUCAUAACUGACGCUGAUGCACGAAAGCGUGGGGAGCAAACAGG
rnacentral:rRNA from 1 species